GCGGUGGAGCAUGUGGUUUAAUUCGAUGCAACGCGAAGAACCUUACCUGGCUGACAUCCCGGGAACUCCCCUCGGAAACGAGGGAGUGCCCUUCGGGGAACCCGGUGACAGGUGCUGCAUGGCUGUCGUCAGCUCGUGUCGUGAGAUGUUGGGUUAAGUCCCGCAACGAGCGCAACCCUUGUCUUUAAUUGCCAUCAUUUAGUUGGGCACUUUAAAGAGACUGCCGGUGUUAAGCCGGAGGAAGGUGGGGAUGACGUCAAGUCCUCAUGGCCUUUAUACCCAGGGCUACACACGUGCUACAAUGGUUGGUACAACGAGUUGCGAGUCGGUGACGGCGAGCUAAUCUCUUAAAGCCAAUCUCAGUUCGGAUUGUAGGCUGCAACUCGCCUACAUGAAGUCGGAAUCGCUAGUAAUCGCGGAUCAGCACGCCGCGGUGAAUACGUUCCCGGGCCUU
rnacentral:rRNA from 1 species